rnacentral:rRNA from 1 species
UCGGAAUUACUGGGCGUAAAGAGUGCGUAUGUGGUUCGUGAAGUCUGAUGUGAAAGCCCUGGGCUCAACCGGGGAAUUGCAUGGGAUACUGGCGGGCUAGAGUGCGGUAGAGGAUGGCGCAAUUCCCGGUGUAGCAGUGAAAUGCGUAGAGAGCGGGAGGAACAUCCGUGGCGAAGGCGGCCAUCUGGACCAGCACUGACACUGAGGCACGAAAGCGUGGGGAGCAAACAG